GAGAAGGCUCACUAUGACUAAUCCUCGGGCAUUUGUCAAGCCCAAGCUUCCCAUGGGAGGAGAUUUUUACUAAGCACUGUAGCGGUUAGAGCAAACUAGGACAUUUGAUGUAUUUCCACAUGGAUAACAGCAUUACAUGACAAUUGAGUAAACUUACAUUAUCUGUUAAUUGACAGCGUAGGUCUGCCUGGCUCAAGGGGAAGAGACAACUGUGUGAAAGCUGAGGGAGAAAAGAUGAUCUGGAGAUCGCCGUGCUAUUUUAUUUGUUAUAGAAACACAGAACUGUGUACUGAAAACAGAGAGUUACCAUGUGCAAAUAUUUCUCUAUAAGAUUUCUGGAUCAUGGUCUCAUGGCAGCAAAUAUGUCCUUGAUAUGGAGGUAUCCAGGAAGAGUAUUAGGCUUGACCCCCAACAUGGAGCAGAAGUAAUGGAUCUAGUGUUGAGAGGAUGGUGUACAUCACACAGCAGCAGCCUCAGACCAGUGGGUCAAGAGGAGUUCAUUGAGAACUGGUGGUAUUUACAAAGAAUGUUGGCAUGGACGUUGAGAACUGUACAACUCAGAGCUCAGGCACCAUGGGUAAAGAAACCUCCUUUUGUUGGGAUAGUUCAGCAUGUGCAGCAGUGGCAGAGAAGUGAUCC
rnacentral:lncRNA from 1 species